UACGUAGGUGGCGAGCGUUGUCCGGAUUUACUGGGCGUAAAGGGAGCGUAGGCGGGCUUUUAAGUGAGAUGUGAAAUACUCGGGCUCAACUUGAGUGCUGCAUUUCAAACUGGAAGUCUAGAGUGCAGGAGAGGAGAAUGGAAUUCCUAGUGUAGCGGUGAAAUGCGUAGAGAUUAGGAAGAAUACCAGUGGCGAAGGCGAUUCUCUGGACUGUAACUGACGCUGAGGCUCGAAAGCGUGGGGAACAAACAGG
rnacentral:rRNA from 1 species